CUCUCAGGAAUGAACAGAGGGGUGGCCACAAGACUGACAUGGGGAAGCUCCAACGUUAAGUGACCUGGAGUGGACCACUGUGCAGGGAAAUGGGGGUACAUAGAACCGGCUAACUAACAUUUAUCAGAACCCCUAACUAAACCAACCCGGGAUGCAACAACAGCAGCCAGAGAAGAGCAGUGAGCAUCUGAGAGCUGCAGCCCUGCAACAUCCAGGUCCUUUGGAAGAAUCCUGUCCCAGGCUGCACCUGAACUAUUCCUGAUGCCUAACAUCCCUGACUGAUAAGCAGCUAUGGUGGGACAAGCAGCCACUGCUAGAUGUAGCCGCUGCCUGGAUUCGAGUACAAUUAUAUGUGCAUGGUGCAAGUCACUUGGCUUUUAACACCCUUUCAUCACAAAACUACAUGGUUACUGUUCAGGAAAUCCAGAAAAAAGUUACAGACUGGCAUUUAUUGGAAAAGCAAACUCUAUCACAUGCACAUCCUAUACUAUUAUUGUAUGGUUUUUUUCCUUCAAGUAUACAAUUAUGAAAUGGUAAAAGGCUUUAAGUUGAUGCUGAUAAACUAUGCCUUGAAUUACUUCUACUCUGACAUGCAUAGGUGAACCUUACAUUUAGUUUACUCAGAGAAAAAUCUAAAUUUCAUUGUAUAAUAUCACAUUUAAGGACCACUUAACUAUAAGUUAAUACAAACCUACAGUAGUAGGAUGCAAAAUAAAGUGUAAUCCAUUAAAAAUGAA